CACAGCUCUAUGCUAAAUCGAAAGAUGAUGUAUAUGGGGUGACACCUGCCCGGUGCCGGAAGGUUAAGAGGAGGAGUGAGAGCUCUGAAUUGAAGCCCCGGUAAACGGCGGCCGUAACAAUAACGGUCCUAAGGUAGCGAAAUUCCUUGUCAGGUAAGUUCUGACCCGCACGAAUGGUGUAACGAUCUGGGCACUGUCUCAACUACCCGCCCGGCGAAAUUGUAGUACCGGUGAAGAUGCCGGUUACCCGCGACUAGACGGAAAGACCCCAUGGAGCUUUACUGUAGCUUAAUGUUGAAUUUCGGUAUUUCAUGUACAGGAUAGGUGGGAGACUAUGAAGCAGGGGCGUCAGCUUCUGUGGAGUCAACCUUGGGAUACCACUCUUGAAGUGCUGGAAUUCUAACCUGCGGCCGUGAAUCCGGUCGGGGGACAUCGUUAGGUGGGCAGUUUGACUGGGGC
rnacentral:rRNA from 1 species